UACGUAGGUGGCGAGCGUUGUCCGGAUUUACUGGGCGUAAAGCGCGCGCAGGCGGUUCUGUAAGUCCUGGGUGAAAUCGCCCGGCUCAACUGGGCGGGGGCCUGGGGGACUGCGGGACUGGAGGGGCCUAGAGGGCGGUGGAACUCCCGGUGUAGUGGUGAAAUGCGUAGAGAUCGGGAAGAACACCAGUGGCGAAGGCGGCCGGCUGGGGGCGCCCUGACGCUGAGGCGCGAGAGCGUGGGGAGCGAACCGG
rnacentral:rRNA from 1 species